rnacentral:rRNA from 1 species
GACGAACGCUGGCGGCGUGCCUAAUACAUGCAAGUAGAACGCUGAAGAGAGGAGCUUGCUCUUCUUGGAAGAGUUGCGAACGGGUGAGUAACGCGUAGGUAACCUGCCUUGUAGCGGGGGAUAACUAUUGGAAACGAUAGCUAAUACCGCAUAACAAUGGGUGACCCAUGUCAUUCAUUUGAAAGGGGCAACUGCUCCACUACAAGAUGGACCUGCGUUGUAUUAGCUAGUAGGUGAGGUAACGGCUCACCUAGGCGACGAUACAUAGCCGACCUGAGAGGGUGAUCGGCCACACUGGGACUGAGACACGGCCCAGACUCCUACGGAAGGCAGCAGUAGGGAAUCUUCGGCAAUGGGGGCAACCCUGACCGAGCAACGCCGCGUGAGUGAAGAAGGUUUUCGGAUCGUAAAGCUCUGUUGUAAGUCAAGAACGAGUGUGAGAGUGGAAAGUUCACACCUG